AGGGCCCGGGGGCCUUGUCUCCUCUGUGACAGGACAUGGCAUUGUCCUUUUCUGGGACUAAUUAGCUCCCAUGUCAUUUUGCCCUGUUUUGUCUUCCUUCUGCCCCCAGCAUAGCAAAUUCAUGAUAGGUGGUAAAAGGAAUGAAUCUCUACUUGCAGUCUCUGUGAAUGUCCCUACCCAACCUCCUCCUCCCCUCCCCUCUCCUCUUUAUGCAGGUGCUCCCCUUUUCUGUUCAAGUUUCCCUGGAACCAAGUCUGUGAGCUAUUUUGGGGUCUCUCUUCUCUGGAGGAACUUCUCUGUCCAUGUUGCCAUGCAUUCAGCACGCAGUAGGUGUUCAAUAAAUUGUUCCUGGAUCUGUCCACGGUGCUGAAUGUCUUUAUCCUUCUUGCCACUGCCUGCCUCAGAAUGGCUACUUCUAGAAGGGGAAGUUAGCCACCAUGGCAAGAGUACCCUUAUGGAGAGGCUUGCGUAAAAACUAAACCCUUUGACCAACUGCCAGCAAAAAAUGGUUGCCUGACAACAACCACAGAGUGAGACUGGAAGUGGAUCCCCGUUAAGCCUUCUGAUGACUGCAGCCCUGGCUGACACUUGACCGCAGCCUCAUGAGAGAUCCCGAGCCACAAUCUCACAGUCAGUCCACUUCUGGGUUUUCAAUCCUCAGAAAUUGUGUGAGAUAAUAAAUAUGUGUUAUUUUAA